rnacentral:misc_RNA from 1 species
CAUCCAUAGUGAGAGCGAGGUGGCUUGGGAAAGACACCAGGGCUGAGCUGAACCCUGCGGCAGCGCAUGGCGAGGUGGCUUGGGAAAGACACCAGGGCGGCCGCUCGGUCACUAGUGAGAGCGAGGGCGAGGCGAUGAGGGGACCUGGACAUGGAGUCGAGCGCGAGUUGCUGGGGCAAGCGCCAUGGCAGGCCGGAGCUAACGACCAUGGAGUUCAAGUAUGGGGAGGUGUGGCAGGCGAGCACCAGUUAGCUGUGGUCGGUGGUGGAGGCUGGCUCCGACGAGCACGACGACUGAGAGAUGGCACAUCCGCUUGGGGAGGCAGAGAAGCGAUGCAGCCAGGGAGCUUCGACGGUGGCCAAGGAAAUGAGGAUAAGGGAAAAUCAGCUAGAAGAUAAUAGGAUAAAGACAUCGACUAGAGAGAUGAGGC